rnacentral:rRNA from 1 species
GAUGAACGCUAGCUACAGGCUUAACACAUGCAAGUCGAGGGGCAGCAUGGUCUUAGCUUGCUAAGACCGAUGGCGACCGGCGCACGGGUGAGUAACACGUAUCCAACCUGCCGUCUACUCUUGGACAGCCUUCUGAAAUGAAGAUUAAUACAAGAUGGCCUCAUGAGUUCACAUGUUCACAUUAUUAACGGUAUUCCGUUAGACGAUGGGGAUGCGUUCUAUUAGAUAGUAGGCGGAGUAACGGCCCACCUAGUCUUCGAUGGAUAGGGGUUCUGAGAGGAAGCUACACCACAAUUGAACUGAGACACAGUCCAAAAUCCUACGCGAGGCAGGAGUGAGGAAUACUGGUCGAGGGGCGAGAGUCCGAACCAGCCAAGUAGGGUGAAGGAGGACUGGGGUAUGGGUUGUAAACUUCUGUUAUAAAAGAACAAAGUCGGGUAUGUCUACUCGUUUGCAUGUACUUUAUGAAUAAGGAUCGGCUAACUCCGUG